ACCCUAAUUAGAAUUAUACUUUAAUGAAUCGCCUUUGGUAGAUUUAUGCUUUGAUUCAAACGGUUCUGAGAAUCUGAGAGAGGUUUUCGAAAUCUUAAAGGCAGGGGAGGUUUUCGAGUCUCUGGCGAUCCCUUUGAUGAAGCUGGUAUGGUUGAAAACUUCGGAGAUGGAGAGCGGAGACUCUCCACUUUCAUCUUCAAUACUGUAUAAGUCAUUCAAACACCUUCCCCGGUAGAAUCAUGCCUCUAUUCUGAUCAUACUGUAUUUUUCACCAGUAAAGACAUCAUCAUAUGGAUACUGCCUAAAACGGAGCCAGGUCUGGUGAUCUGAACAAUCAAAUCCGCCGUUCAAAGUUCCUUCUACUGCUAAAGACAAAGGAUCAAAUCUCUAUAUUUGAAAAUUUGCCCCAUAAUUGAUUGAUUCUUCGAUCUUUAUAUGUUUCUACCAUACCAACAAGAUGGCUAUCUCUCCAUGAAACCUCAGACAAGCUCACGGAGUUUCACCAGAGCUUUGGCAUUAGCCUUUAACGAGUGGCUACUCAUCCUCAUUCUCUUCAUCAACUCCAUCUUCUCCUACGUGAUCACAAGAUUCGCAGAUCACUCCGAGCUCCAAUCUCCAUGUCUGAUGUGCUCUCAACAACAAAUCCGCCAAGGAAUAGGUUUACUUCCACUUUGGGUGAGAGUCUUUUGUAUGAUAAAGAAGACGCUAGAGAGCUGGUUGUUUUGGAUCUCCGUUUGUUAUUGUUCUACUUCUACCAUCGGCAUACUUUUCUAAUAUGUAUUUGAUGAUUAUCUAAACCCAUUUCUGAGUACAGUACCUUUUGGAUCA